GAGUUUGAUCAUGGCUCAGAUUGAACGCUGGCGGCAUGCCUUACACAUGCAAGUCGAACGGCAGCAUGAUCUAGCUUGCUAGAUUGAUGGCGAGUGGCGAACGGGUGAGUAAUACAUCGGAACGUGCCCUGUAGUGGGGGAUAACUAGUCGAAAGAUUAGCUAAUACCGCAUACGACCUGAGGGUGAAAGUGGGGGACCGCAAGGCCUCAUGCUAUAGGAGCGGCCGAUGUCUGAUUAGCUAGUUGGUGGGGUAAAGGCCCACCAAGGCGACGAUCAGUAGCUGGUCUGAGAGGACGAUCAGCCACACUGGGACUGAGACACGGCCCAGACUCCUACGGGAGGCAGCAGUGGGGAAUUUUGGACAAUGGGGGCAACCCUGAUCCAGCAAUGCCGCGUGUGUGAAGAAGGCCUUCGGGUUGUAAAGCACUUUUGUCCGGAAAGAAAUCGCACUUACUAAUAUUAGGUGUGGAUGACGGUACCGGAAGAAUAAGGACCGGCUAACUACGUGCCAGCAGCCGCGGUAAUACGUAGGGUCCAAGCGUUAAUCGGAAUUACUGGGCGUAAAGCGUGCGCAGGCGGUUGUGCAAGACCGAUGUGAAAUCCCCGGGCUUAACCUGGGAAUUGCAUUGGUGACUGCACGGCUAGAGUGUGUCAGAGGGGGGUAGAAUUCCACGUGUAGCAGUGAAAUGCGUAGAGAUGUGGAGGAAUACCGAUGGCGAAGGCAGCCCCCUGGGAUAACACUGACGCUCAUGCACGAAAGCGUGGGGAGCAAACAGGAUUAGAUACCCUGGUAGUCCACGCCCUAAACGAUGUCAACUAGUUGUUGGGGAUUCAUUUCCUUAGUAACGUAGCUAACGCGUGAAGUUGACCGCCUGGGGAGUACGGUCGCAAGAUUAAAACUCAAAGGAAUUGACGGGGACCCGCACAAGCGGUGGAUGAUGUGGAUUAAUUCGAUGCAACGCGAAAAACCUUACCUACCCUUGACAUGCCACUAACGAAGCAGAGAUGCAUUAGGUACUCGAAAGAGAAAGUGGACACAGGUGCUGCAUGGCUGUCGUCAGCUCGUGUCGUGAGAUGUUGGGUUAAGUCCCGCAACGAGCGCAACCCUUGUCUCUAGUUGCUACGAAAGGGCACUCUAGAGAGACUGCCGGUGACAAACCGGAGGAAGGUGGGGAUGACGUCAAGUCCUCAUGGCCCUUAUGGGUAGGGCUUCACACGUCAUACAAUGGUGCAUACAGAGGGUUGCCAAGCCGCGAGGUGGAGCUAAUCCCAGAAAAUGCAUCGUAGUCCGGAUCGUAGUCUGCAACUCGACUACGUGAAGCUGGAAUCGCUAGUAAUCGCGGAUCAGCAUGCCGCGGUGAAUACGU
rnacentral:rRNA from 1 species